CCUACGGGUGGCAGCAGUGAGGAAUAUUGGUCAAUGGACGCAAGUCUGAACCAGCCAUGCCGCGUGCAGGAAGACGGCUCUAUGAGUUGUAAACUGCUUUUGUACGAGGGUAAACGCAGAUACGCGUAUCUGUCUGAAAGUAUCGUACGAAUAAGGAUCGGCUAACUCCGUGCCAGCAGCCGCGGUAAUACGGAGGAUUCAAGCGUUAUCCGGAUUUAUUGGGUUUAAAGGGUGCGUAGGUGGUUGGAUAAGUUAGAGGUGAAAUCCCGAGGCUCAACCUCGGAAUUGCCUCUGAUACUGGUCGUCUAGAGAGUAGUUGCGGUAGGCGGAAUGUAUGGUGUAGCGGUGAAAUGCUUAGAGAUCAUGCAGAACACCGAUUGCGAAGGCAGCUUACCAGGCUACUUCUGACGUUGAGGCACGAAAGCGUGGGGAGCAAACAGGAUUAGAUACCCGAGUAGUC
rnacentral:rRNA from 1 species